rnacentral:rRNA from 1 species
UACGUAGGGCGCAAGCGUUAUCCGGAAUUAUUGGGCGUAAAGAGCUCGUAGGCGGUUUGUCGCGUCUGCUGUGAAAACUCGGGGCUUAACUCCGGGCCUGCAGUGGGUACGGGCUGACUAGAGUGCGGUAGGGGAGACUGGAAUUCCUGGUGUAGCGGUGAAAUGCGCAGAUAUCAGGAGGAACACCGGUGGCGAAGGCGGUUCUCUGGGCAUGUCCUGACGCUGAGGAGCGAAAGUGUGGGGAGCGAACAGG